rnacentral:rRNA from 1 species
CACCAAAUCCCUCCGCCGCCACCAGUCCACUACAUCUUCCUCAGGAUCCCCUUCUCCUCGUCUUCCUCCACCCACCAACAGGAGCCCGAGAUCUUUCUCCACGACCCCGAGCACUUGAUCCACCGGACCAACCACCUUCUCCUCUUAAUCCAUGGCCACCUCCUACUCGAGCAACCAGCGCCCCGCUGUUUUCUCUCCCCUGUCCGAUCUGGAGGAGAGGAGCUCCUCCAGGCCCCACCUAGCGUGAUAGUCGCCGGUCACCCAAGCAGCAGCAGAUGAGCAUCACGGCCCUCCUCUUCCUCAUGUUUUCUCCUUGUCCUCGUGUAUCCUCCUCCAUCUCUCAACUCCCCUCCUUUGCUUCUUACCGCAAGAACCGGUUGCAGCUGUCGAACACCAUGGAUUCGCGCCAAGAGCUCUUAUGGUCACCGUGACCUCGCCGUCAGGAUCCGCUUCCUCCUGCGACCCUCCAGCCACCCGCCACAACCUUCGUCAUGCCCGCGAGCUUCGCCUGCACCUCGCCUCCCCGACAUGAACUGUCCCGAUCCGACCAUCUCCGGUGGCCUCCUCAUCGUCGCGGCCUAGGCAAACUACAGACCCACCGUGACCUCGCCCGCGCCUCCCUUUACCUCUCCCCUUUCCCUCUUUGGUCCUCUCUCUCGCUCACGAUCUCUCUGCCUCUCACCUUGCUUCCCUGCAGGAACCGAACAACACCGCUGCCUCCCCUGCCGACUUGAAUCCGCCGGAUCCGGUGACUCUUGCCGCCGCCACCAAGAACCUUGCCGGGGAACGACGUUCCGCCCCUGGACCCGCUCGUUUCAGCCGCCGCUGCCGCUCUGAACCUCGCGCCCCGCUGCUGACUGCUUCGUUUCAAUCGAGGACGAGCGGUCCCUCUUCGUCGUGUUGACCGCACAAGACCAGUGCCUGGGCCGUGUCUCGCGUGAGGUCCACCAACCGGCCCGGCUGCCAGGCCCAGCGGCGCUCGGCCUGCCAAGCCUCUUCCCUGACUGGGCCUCAACCCGAUGUUAGCAGCCCUGCUCCAUGUGCACUGUUGGGCUGACCAGAUUUGGCCCGUUUCAUUUUUUUUCCACAAAACGAAUUUCCUAUUUAUUCCAGAGUUGGCAGUUUUACAGAAUAACCCCUAAGCCUCAUGCAUAUUGUAACUCUCAAACCGUGC